rnacentral:rRNA from 1 species
GAUCCUGGCUCAGGAUGAACGCUGGCGGCGUGCCUAAUACAUGCAAGUGAAACGGGUAUCUUCGGAUACCAGUCGCGGACGGGUGAGUAAUACAUAGGCAACCUGCCUUUAUGAGGGGGAUAACCGAGGGAAACUUUGGCUAAUACCGCAUGAAGACUCUAAGGCAUCUUAGAGGGAUAAAAGUUGGGAAACAACGCAUGAAGAUGGGCUUAUGGCGCAUUAGCUAGUUGGUGAGAUAGAAGCCCACCAAGGUAAUGAUGCGUAGCCGACCUGAGAGGGUGAACGGCCACAUUGGGACUGAGACACGGCCCAAACUCCUACGGGAGGCAGCAGUAGGGAAUUUUCGGCAAUGGGGGGAACCCUGACCGAGCAACGCCGCGUGAAGGAAGAAGGUUUUCGGAUUGUAAACUUCUGUUAUAAGGGAAGAACGGAUUGGAUAGGGAAUGAUCUGAUAGUGACGGUACCUUAUUAGAAAGCCACGGCUAACUACGUGCCAGCCGCGGC